rnacentral:rRNA from 1 species
CCGCCGUGGGCGCAGGAGACUUGAGGAGGGUUGACCCUAGUACGAGAGGACCGGGUUGAACGGCCCGCUAGUGUACCGGUUGUCACGCCAGUGGCAGCGCCGGGUAGCCAUGGCCGGAUUGGAUAAGCGCUGAAAGCAUCUAAGUGCGAAGCCAACUCCAAGAUAAGGUUUCCCACCGGGUUAACCGGGUAAGGGCCCUGCUAGACAAGCAGGUUGAUAGGCCGGAGGUGUAAGAGGAGCAAUCCUUUGAGCUGACCGGUACUAAUAGCCCGAGGGCUUGUUCACCUAUAACUCACUCU